rnacentral:lncRNA from 1 species
UGGCGUACUGCGAAGCGAAGCUGCUGUACCUGGCUGACAGAGUGCAGACGCUGUCCAGCACCGAGGAGGUCGACGCAAAAGUGAGGGAUACCCUGGAGACCUCGACGCUGAAGGAGAAGCAGAACACCAGGAUCAGCUUUGAGGACCUGGAAGAGGAUAUGAUAGAAACCUUCCAGUUCGCAGACGUGGACCACAGCUACGUCCCCUCGCGGGCCGAGAUCAAGCGGCAGGCCCAGCGGCUGAUCGAGGGGCGGCUCAAGGUGGCCAAGAAGAAGAAGAAGUAACCCCGAGGAGGAGCCCCUGCCCCGCCCCCCAGCCCCCCGCUCCCCAGCCGGCGCUUUGUUACACAAAUAAACAUUUUUCCAGGACUGCAGGGGCACCGGGGGACAGGAGUCUCACACACGAACCCGGGGCCCGCGGAAAGGGGGGGUCACGCCGGGAAGUCGGCGGGAAAGUGGGAUAUUGGGUGUGGGCCCGGGGUUGAGGGGUGAGUUGGGGGGCAGGCCCAGCGAGGAAGCGGACGGGUGACAGGCCCGCUCCGAAGGCCCGGGGACAGCUCCGAAGGCUGGGCGGCCGACGUGGCUCCGCGCUCACCUCCGCCCGCAUCCUGCCGCGCGUGCGCGCGCCCCCGCGCGGCCGCCAGGUCAGGCCUCUCGAGGCGCUCCUUAGCGCCGAGUCCGCGUCCACUCGCG